GGUGUUUACAGCCUAUGUUGACAGCAAAAAGAAAGGAUUAGACUGAGUGUGACAGGAAGAUACAAAUACUCAUGUUCGCUAAGAUUCUGAACUUAUUAUGAAGUUAGCAUCCCAAUAAAACAAACUCGACAACUGAACAUUUACAUUUACAUUUAAGUCAUUUAGCAGACGCUCUUAUCCAGAGCGACUUACAGAACAAAGUUGGCUUGCGCUAGCGAGCCCUACCUGGUUACUGGCUAUAGUCAUGCUAGCUAGUGGAAGUAAGUUAGUCCCUCAACCUGCUGCAAGAUGAAGCUGCCCAGCCAGAUCCACCUGCUGCAGAAAGGUAUUUUCAUUAUUGAACAUGAAAUGAACUACACAGAGGGAGAAGUACACUGUGCAUCCAGCACCAUGGACAGAACUCUUGUUAACAGAUGGUAUGUAGGCUUGUUGAUGGUACCUGCAGGCCUGUUUCAGGGACAACUGGACAGGACACUUCUUGGACUUCAGCUGAGACCCAUCUACGUCCUUCUUUCCUCUUCCUGUUUUGCAUUAAGCUCUCAAGGAUACAUUAGGGGAAGUUGUUUUUCUGUUGGCACCAAUCCUAUGCAGCCAGGCUGCCAAAUCCCCCUCAUAUCCCCCUCAUACUAAACUUUACUCACUCUUGUUCAACUGCCAUUUGAUUGAAUCGGUUUAAUUAAAUGUUUAAAUUUGCUUCAAGUGUGGUUUUUACUGAAA